AAUCGAACCCGGAGAUAGCUGGUUCUCCUCGAAAUAGCUUUAGGGCUAGCCUCGAUACAGAUUUGCGGAGGUAGAGCACUGAAUUUCCUAGGGGGCGUCAAAGCCUACCGAAGAAUAUCAAACUCCGAAUGCCGCGUAAUCGAUUAUCGGGAGUCAGACUGCACGAGAUAAGUUGGGCGGUCAAAAGGGAAAGAGCCCAGACCUUCAGUUAAGGUCCCCAAGUGCGCGUUAAGUGGAAAAGGAUGUGGGAUUUCGAAGACAACCAGGAUGUUGGCUCAGAAGCAGCCAUCCAUUCAAAGAGUGCGUAAUAGCUCACUGGUCGAGAGGUCCUGCGCCGAAAAUGUCCGGGGCUGAAACGCGCCACCGAAACUAAGGAACCGAAAGGUUGGUAGAGGAGCAUUGCAUGCGGAACGAAGCAGUACCGUAAGGAGCUGUGGACUGCAUGGAAGAGAGAAUGCCGGAAUGAGUAGCGAGAUAGAGGUGGGAAUCCUCUAGGCCGAAUAUCCAAGGUUUCCAGAGUAAAGCUGAUCUGCUCUGGGUAAGUCGGGGCCUAAGGCGAGGACGAGAGUCGUAGCCGAUGGACAACAGGUGGAGAUUCCUGUACUGCGGUAUGACAGAACUGUGGGGACACGUAAGGAAAGCGGAAGCCGGGAAUGGAGAGCCCGGUGCAAGCGGGGUACCAGUCACUUUGGCAAAUCCGGGUGGCAAUGGGAAGCCGUGAUGCGGAGCGAAAUAAAGUAGCGAAGUCCGUGAGCCAUGCGUCAAGAAAAGCCGCUAUCGUUUAUACCGUACCCGUACCGUAAACCGACACAGGUGGAUGAGGAGAGAAUCCUAAGGCCGGCGGGAGAAGCAUUGUUAAGGAACUCGGCAAAAUGACCCCGUAACUUCGGGAGAAGGGGUGCCACAGAGAUGUGGCCGCAGAGAAUAGGCUCAAGCAACUGUUUAGCAAAAACACAGGUCUAUGCAAAACCGAAAGGUGAAGUAUAUGGGCUGACGCCUGCCCGGUGCUGGAAGGUUAAGGGGAGAGGUUAGCGCAAGCGAAGCUUUGAACUUAAGCCCCAGUAAACGGCGGCCGUAACUAUAACGGUCCUAAGGUAGCGAAAUUCCUUGUCGGGUAAGUUCCGACCCGCACGAAAGGCGUAAUGAUUUGAGCGCUGUCUCGACAAUGCAUCCGGUGAAAUUGAAGUACCAGUGAAGAUGCUGGUUACCUGCGCCAGGACGGAAAGACCCCAUGGAGCUUUACUCCAGUUUGAUACUGGGAUUCGGCAUGGUAUGUACAGGAUAGGUGGGAGACUGAGAAGGUAUGACGUCAGUUGUACCGGAGUCGCUGUUGGGAUACCACCCUUACCAUGUUGGAUUUCUAACCUGUGGCCGUAAGCCGGUCAGGGGACAAUGUCAGGCGGGGAGUUUGACUGGGGCGGUCGCCUCCGAAAGGGUAUCGGAGGCGCUCAAAGGUUCCCUCAGAAUGGUUGGAAACCAUUCGAAGAGUGCAAAGGCAGAAGGGAGCUUGACUGCGACACCGACGGGUGGAGCAGGUACGAAAGUAGGACUUAGUGAUCCGGUGGCAUAAAGUGGGAUUGCCAUCGCUCAACGGAUAAAAGCUACCCUGGGGAUAACAGGCUUAUCACUCCCAAGAGUUCACAUCGACGGAGUGGUUUGGCACCUCGAUGUCGGCUCAUCGCAUCCUGGGGCUGUAGUAGGUCCCAAGGGUUGGGCUGUUCGCCCAUUAAAGCGGUACGCGAGCUGGGUUCAGAACGUCGUGAGACAGUUCGGUCCCUAUCCGGCGUGGGCGUAGGAUAUCUGAGAGGAGCUGUCCUUAGUACGAGAGGACCGGGAUGGACGGACCGCUGGUGUACCGGUUAGACUGCCAAGUCUACGGCCGGGUAGCCAAGUCCGGAAGGGAUAAACGCUGAAGGCAUCUAAGCGUGAAGCCCCCCUCAAGAUGAGAUGUCCCAUUCGAAAGAAGUAAACCCCCUUGA
rnacentral:rRNA from 1 species